AUCCUCUUGUUUCAGGAGCUGCAACUCCUAGCCGUGCACUUAGGCUCCAAGCGGCCGGGGCAGAGGGAGGAAAGCCCGGCCACGCAGGGCUCCAGGGCCGGCGGCGCUCUCCCGGCCGGGAGAUCCCCCACCCCCUUCCCCAGCAGCGCAGCGCCCGAGCGGGGCGGGCGGGCUGCCGCGGGGAGAUGGCGCCAGGUAGCAGCUCCGAGCGGGCGGCCGCUGUCGCCGCCUCAGGGUGAGGGGCGGCGAGGCCAGGCCGGGCCCGGCUGGGCUGCCCCGCACCCCCGCCCCAGCCGGGAGCAGCGCCACGCGCCUCUUCCACAACUCCUCCUCCUCAGCCUUAUCGAGCGCCGGAGGCUGCUCGCGGCGCGGGGAGCGCAGGGGAUACAAACAAGUGUGUGCGGCGCUGGGGGAGGGGGAUCCCUGCUCCCGCUCCGGGAAAACGAGGUCUUAAACAGCUUUUGGCAUUGGUGCUGGCCAGUAGCUCAGGCUCUGCAGCUGUGAUCCUCCAUGUCGGGUGGUCUCCUGAAUGUUAAGGAGUUGCACCUUAACCAAGAGUCGCAUUUCCAAGCCUAGAAUUAGGUGAGAACUACAGUAUUUUCUGUAACUUGAAUUUUUUAUUUUGGAAUGCUGCUUUUAUGUUAAACAGCGUGGGGUUUCUUUUUCCUUUUUAUCUUUUUUUCUUAAGGCUGAGAAGUGUCUGGUGGUAGUCAUUACAUUUGUAAUUGCAGUGUUUAAUUUCUACUAGGUAUGAAAUGAAACAGUAGCGAGAUCUUCAUAGGCUUUGGGACUAUUUUCUGUGAUGUUUGAUAGGAAAUUUCUGUGUGCUGCUCAACUUCGACUGAUCACAGAUGUCUUAAGCUGGCUAAUUUUUAAAAGAAGCUGCUACAGUUAGUCCCGGCUAAGCAGGACUUUUGCUUAAACUAAUGAGAUUUUUGAUGAGGUUGAAGCUGUGAAAGAGAACCUUUGAGGUGUUGAAAGUGUGGGUUUUUCAUCUUACAUAGCCAGAAUGUUUUUUUUUUUUUCCUUGUGUAACUAAAUCGAUUACUUCUAAUAGCUAAUGCUUAUUGGAAGGUUUAAUUAGUCAUGUAAUUUGUGGGAAGUACACGUGUUCCUGAACCAGUGCUGCAUAGCCAAGAGUUUUCUAUGAGUUAAGACAUUUUAUUUCAGCUUAGAUUGUGUAUGUGCCCCAGGGAAUGAUUAUUUAUAUAAGGCAGUGGCCACAAGUAGUUUAAUCCGUGUUCCUUGCAAUCUCUGAUUUAAUCCAAAGUACCUUUCUGCAGGUCACACUUCAUUUUACUAAAACAGCUGUGAUGUUUUGGGAUAUCAUCACCAUUGGCAUUACCUUCUUUGGCCUGCUCUUGUUUUCUGGUCAUUCAGAAAAUACUUAUAUCUGCAACACAGAGCCCACAGCAGGGAUCUUUUUCUUUCUCUCUCUGGGCUGCUUGCAGGCUGGCCUGAGUGUCCAUUCCUCAGGCUUAUCUGCCUCUUUGACUAAAAGCUCUAUGGCUAGCGGAUCAGAAGAUACCACUGAGAUAGAGAUAUAAUAAUGCAGAAUAUGGGAAAAAUACAGCUUUUUCUUUUGCAUUAGGAAAAGAUGAUGAGGAGUGGCUUAAUCUUUUCUGUCUGACUUUCCUUCUCUGAAAGUGACCAUAAUGACAGAGAAUGAGUUGGUAUUUUUGAGAGAUGAGUGGCACUUAUUUAGAUAAGACCACGUUAGUAUAAUUACCUAUGUGUCUCUUAAAUACAUUCUUUAACAAAAAGAGAGAUGGUAACUAAAAUAGAGCAGUUCUGGAAUUGCAUAACAGGUGUAAUGAAGGAAAAUGAAUGUAAGGGAAUUAUUUUAGAAAUCAGUAAAAAAAUACAAUAGAAACUUAAUAAUUUGUUAGCAUUGAAUUUUAGAGCUUACAGUUUAGUUUUAUUCCUGGUGAGAAUUUCUAGUGGUGUUUUUCUGGCUGCCAGUUGAAGAACAGGAUUGUUAACUCAUUUGCAUUUUGGAAGUAUCUUCUGAUCCUUACUGAGUGCCUAUUGAGAAUAUACAGUUUCUCCUGUAGUAAUCAGUGGUGAAUGUGCCAUAUUCGUCAGUUUCCCAAAACUUGUUAGAAAUUUACAGUUUUAUUUAUUUGCCACAAUUUCGCCCUUUCAGUGCAACUUGUAAAUUGCGUGGUUCAGUUUGUGUCCUGGUUCUGGCACUGGCAUUGGCAUCUGGUAUUGAGCAAAAUUAUGAAGAUCACAAUUAUAUGUUAAAUAAGGUACUCAUGUUUUUUGUUUAAGAGUGAGAACGUAUUGUUUUAGUGAAAUGGCACUGUGGAGCAAUCCUUGUUGUUUACCAUCUGGAAAUGUUUGACAUUUUUAGCACUAGUGUGGAUCCAUAGGCUAAACCUGACCAGCAACAAGGAAGUGAACCUUAGAAAAGAAGAAUCUUUGCAGGUCAAGUUACCCUUAGUUCCUGUGCCUCCAUGCAGAGAGCUCAAAUACAGGACUGAAAGCAGCCAGAAAUUACCGUGUCAUAAUGAGAGUCUAUGUAUCACCUACGCACCUGAGCUGUUGCUGUAGAGUCUCUUGGAAAAUAGCUCUUGAUGGAGACUUUCCAGCUGUGAAGGAAGAGGUGUGGUAGGAGAGGUGGGAGACAGGGAGUGAUCAGGGAGUGAUUUUGUGUUUUUUGUUUUUUUUUUUUUUUUUAGUUUGGGCUGGAUUUUGGAUUUUUUUUUCUAUUGUUUCUCCUGGUCUUAGUACCUUUGUGGGUGCAAGGUGAAAAGCAAACCAGGUGACUGGAUAGCCUCUCUGAAAGUUAAAUUUGGUUCCUGGUUAGUUAUUUCUUACACAGCAGGCCUGUAACAGGGAUUCCUGUGUAAGUAUUUGCAGGUGUUUGGCAGCAAAUUAUUUUAAUGAGGGCUAGGGAAAGCAAGCAUCUGGGAAAUGUCAAAGCUAUGAAAGGUUUUGGUAGGCCAAUGUCCC
ensembl:lncRNA